UCCCUGGAGGCCAUGUGGUUAAGCUACAGAGCUCUCACCAUCGAGGCCCAGGUUCGAUUCCUGGCCAGGGAA